UACGUAGGGGGCGAGCGUUGUCCGGAAUCAUUGGGCGUAAAGCGCGUGUAGGCGGCUCGGUAAGUCUGCUGUGAAAGUCCAGGGCUCAACCCUGGGAUGCCGGUGGAUACUGUCGAGCUCGAGUCCGGAAGAGGCGAGUGGAAUUCCUGGUGUAGCGGUGAAAUGCGCAGAUAUCAGGAGGAACACCGGUGGCGAAGGCGGGUCUCUGGGCCGAAACUGACGCUGAGGAGCGAAAGCGUGGGGAGCAAACAGG
rnacentral:rRNA from 1 species